UGCGUGACAUGGAAGGUGAUCUGCAAGAGCUGCGUCAGUCAAAGACCGGGGUUAAAUCUGGAUUUGGGUGCUGGCAUCAAAGUGAAGAUUAUACCCAAAGGAGAACACUGUAAAAUGCCAGAAGCAGGUGAAGGGCAACCACAAGUUUAAAUGAAGACAAGCUGAAACGACGCAAACUGGUUUUAUAUCAGAUAUUUGACUUAAAGUAUCUCAAUAAAGUUUUGCAGCUUUCACCAAA